UUGCUGAGUCAAAGAGUGAAGACAGAGAGAAUUUUGCCAAAUUCUUUCCAUGGUGAUUGUACAACAAUUUUGCAUUCCUGCCACCAAAGUAUGAGAGUGUCUAUUCUCCAGAGCUUCAUUAACAGAAUUAUGUUGUCAAAGCUUUGAAUUUUUACCAGGAAUAGGAUAUGAGAAGAUGACAGUCUGCAACCCAGAAGAGAACCCUCACAGAACCUGACCAUGCCGGCACCCUGAUCUCAGGUUUCCAGCCUCCAGAACUGUGAGAACUGGCUUCCAUGUGUAAAGUGCUCUAUGGAGAGGCCUGUGUGGCAAGGAACUGGGAGUAGCCUCCAGAUGACAGCCAGUAAGGAACUGAGACCCUCAGUCCACCAACCCAUGAGGAACCCAUGCAAUGACCACAUGAGUCAAACUUUGAGAUGACUGCAGACCGAGCCAGCCCCUUGAUAAGAGCUUUGUGAGAGGAUCAGAGCCAAAG
rnacentral:lncRNA from 1 species